rnacentral:rRNA from 1 species
GACGAACGCUGGCGGCGUGCUUAACACAUGCAAGUCGAACGAUGAAGCCGGAGCUUGCUCUGGUGAAUUAGUGGCGAACGGGUGAGUAACACGUGAGUAACCUGCCCUUGACUCUGGGAUAACUGCUAGAAAUGGUAGCUAAUACCGGAUACGACCCUCGGAGGCAUCUCCAGGGGGUGGAAAGAAUUUCGGUCAAGGAUGGACUCGCGGCCUAUCAGCUAGUUGGUGAGGUAACGGCUCACCAAGGCGACGACGGGUAGCCGGCCUGAGAGGGUGACCGGCCACACUGGGACUGAGACACGGCCCAGACUCCUACGGGAGGCAGCAGUGGGGAAUAUUGCACAAUGGGCGCAAGCCUGAUGCAGCAACGCCGCGUGAGGGAUGACGGCCUUCGGGUUGUAAACCUCUUUUAGUAGGGAAGAAGCGAAAGUGACGGUACCUGCAGAAAAAGCACCGGCUAACUACGUGCCAGCCGCCGCAGUAACAC